rnacentral:rRNA from 1 species
CUUGGUGGCCUUAGCGGCGGGGAAACACCCGUUCCCAUUCCGAACACGGCAGUUAAGACCGCCAGCGCCGAUGGUAGUGAGGCAUCAGCCUUGUGAGAGUAGGUCGCCGCCAAGA